UUGACCGUGUGCUCCCAGCGCGCGUCCGAACGCGCGUGCGUCUGGUCGCCGAGGGUGUGGCCGUCCGCGACGAUGCCCACGACGGUGGGCGAGCCGUAGUGGCCGGUGCCGAUCAGCUGCACCCGGCCGUGCGCGAUGAUGUACAUCUCCUCGACCGGCGCGCCCUCUUGGGCCAGCACGUCCCCGGCCCGGAACUCGCGCGGGCGGAAGGCCGCGGCCAGCGCGGUGAGCAGGUCGUCGUCGGGGAAGCCGCGCAGGGUGGGCAGCUCGCGCAGGGUCUGCGGGAUGAUGCGCACGUCGUCGGCGCCGUUCUGCUCGAACGCGACCCGGCCCCGCCCGACGCUGACGGUCAGCCGCCGGUUGACCCGGUAGGUGCCGCCGGAGACGUUCACCCACGGGAGCUUGCGCAGCAGCCAGCGGGAGCUGAUCCCCUGCAUCUGCGGGACGGUCUUGGUGGUGGUGGCCAGAUUCCGCGCGGCCUGGGUGCUCAGG
rnacentral:antisense_RNA from 1 species